AAUAAACAUUAAAAUAAAGUUAAUUAGAUGGUUAAUCUGGUUUUUUCUAAUUAUUUUAAAUUACAUUUUAUUUUUAUGAAUGUGAUGUUAUAUUCCUUUGGUAAAGAGCAAUAACAGUCACUUUUUUUUUUGUUCAAUGGGAAUUAUUGAGGUGACUAUUAUUGUUUUUUUGGUAAGUGGUAACCAUAUGGUUUAUAGACAUUUAUAGUGGGAUCUUUUGCAUACCCCAAUCCAUGUCGC
rnacentral:lncRNA from 1 species